rnacentral:rRNA from 1 species
GAUGAACGCUGGCGGCGUGCCUAAUACAUGCAAGUCGAGCGAACGGACGAGAAGCUUGCUUCUCUGAUGUUAGCGGCGGACGGGUGAGUAACACGUGGAUAACCUACCUAUAAGACUGGGAUAACUUCGGGAAACCGGAGCUAAUACCGGAUAAUAUUUUGAACCGCAUGGUUCAAAAGUGAAAGACGGUCUUGCUGUCCCUUAUAGAUGGAUCCUCGCUGCAUUAGCUAGUUGGUAAGGUAACGGCUUACCAAGGCAACGAUGCAUAGCCGACCUGAGAGGGUGAUCGGCCACACUGGAACUGAGACACGGUCCAGACUCCUACGGGAGGCAGCAGUAGGGAAUCUUCCGCAAUGGGCGAAAGCCUGACGGAGCAACGCCGCGUGAGUGAUGAAGGUCUUCGGAUCGUAAAACUCCGUUAUUAGGGAAGAACAUAUGUGUAAGUAACUGUGCACAUCUUGACGGUACCUAAUCAGAAAGCCACGGCUAACUACGUG